rnacentral:rRNA from 1 species
GACGAACGCUGGCGGCGUGCUUAACACAUGCAAGUCGAACGGUAAGGCCCUUUCGGGGGUACACGAGCGGCGAACGGGUGAGUAACACGUGGGUGACCUGCCCUCAGCUCUGGGAUAAGCCCGGGAAACUGGGUCUAAUACCGGAUAUGACUUCAUGACGCAUGUUGUGGAGUGGAAAGCCUUGUGCGGCUGAGGAUGGGCCCGCGGCCUAUCAGCUUGUUGGUGGGGUGAUGGCCUACCAAGGCGACGACGGGUAGCCGGCCUGAGAGGGCGACCGGCCACACUGGGACUGAGACACGGCCCAGACUCCUACGGGAGGCAGCAGUGGGGAAUCUUGCGCAAUGGGCGAAAGCCUGACGCAGCGACGCCGCGUGAGGGAUGACGGCCU